AUUUGGUUCUCCCCUACAGGAGAUGAAAAGGGAAUCAGGUGAAAGACCUGAACAGAGCCCGCUGCUGUGAGCCCAUUGUGUUAUCAGCUAAAAAAGCCACUGUCCGACUGACGGGAAGGUGCUGAUAAUUGGGUAAGUCAGAAGACCUGCCGGUUUCAUU
rnacentral:ncRNA from 1 species